AGAAGUAGAGGUGCGAUGUUCAUGAGUCUGGCUGCGGAUGCCGUUUGGGGCAGAUGAGGCGUCAUCAAAGGGGACAUUGCCGAAGGUUUUACGAACCAAACACGCAAAGCCUGGUUGUACUGUGUGAAGAACCUUGCAACUGUCAUCUUUUGUCAGAUGGAGCGCUACUC
rnacentral:ncRNA from 1 species